UACGUAGGGUGCAAGCGUUGUCCGGAAUUAUUGGGCGUAAAGGGCUCGUAGGCGGUCCAUCGCGUCGGGAGUGAAAAGCUGGGGCUCAACCCCAGUCCUGCUUCCGAUACGGGUGGACUAGAGGUAGGCAGGGGAGAACGGAAUUCCUGGUGUAGCGGUGAAAUGCGCAGAUAUCAGGAGGAACACCAAUGGCGAAGGCAGCUCGCUGGGACGUGACUGACGCUGAGGAGCGAAAGCAUGGGGAGCGAACAGG
rnacentral:rRNA from 1 species